AUGACUUAGCAUAACUUAUAAUGUAUGGCCAAAGACUAAAUACAUAGUAAUUAUUUAUAAUAUAUAAAAUAAAAUCAACUCAAUUAGAAAAACUAAAAGACCAUACUAUACUAAAUUAUUUGGCCCAAAGGGGAGGCCUAAUACCUAAUUAAUUAGUAAACCCUACCCACUACUCUAAAUUCAAAAAGAAACAGAAAGGAAGGGGGCGGCUACUUCCCCCCUCAACCUCUCUCUCUCUCCACUGUGGCGCCGGUGAGGACGCCGGCCGCCGGCGCGUCUUCCUCCCUACUCUCUCUCUCUCCCUUGGUCUCUCUCUUUCUCCCUCACUCUCUCUCUUUCUCUCUCGGUCUCUCUACCGCCGGGGACGACCACCUCCGCCGUCGCCGCUGUAUACAUGGCGGUCUCACCGCCGUCGACCGAGAGAGAUUUGGAUAGAUUGUGAAAACGUGGUCGAAGGAGGUUAGUUUCGCUGUGAUCGUCGGACUGCCGCCGGAGCGCUGCCGGAAAGUCACCAGACUGCCGUCGCCGUCGCUGGGCAGAAUUUCCGAAAAUCCGGCAGCUUCUUUACUCACGAGAUAAGCUUCACUGUUCAGUUAAUGGUGUAUUUAUAUAAGUCUUAAAUCUUAAGUUUGCAUUUUGUUGGAUUAUUUGAGAAGCCACUAUUGCUCCAUAGGAGUUGCCUUUUUUCUAUUCAAUAGUUGUCAUUUCUCAAAAUGACAAAAAGGUAAAUAAAAUAGCUUUGCAUUUUCCCGCCAAAAAGGGCAAAUAGGUCUUUUCAACAAACUGUCACUUUAGAUUAGUAUAGAUGCCUUAAAAGGUUAUAGUCUACUGCCUACAAAUCAAGAAAAAGGAGAAAGCUGUCUUCAACUUGCAAAUAUUAAUAAAGUUUUUUUUAUAGUGACA